GGGAAUACGCUAACGUUGGAGAGUUAGGACAGACUGUAAAUCUGUUGUUUUUAAACUGAGUAGGUUCGAAUCCUAUUAUUCCCA
rnacentral:tRNA from 1 species